rnacentral:tRNA from 1 species
AGCGCAAUGGUGUAACGGUAACACAACGGUCUUUGACACCGUUAUUGUGGGUUCAAGCCCCGCUUGCGCUGCCA